rnacentral:rRNA from 1 species
UACGUAGGGUGCAAGCGUUGUCCGGAAUUAUUGGGCGUAAAGAGCUCGUAGGCGGUUCGUCGCGUCGGCUGUGAAAUCCCGGAGCUCAACUCCGGGUCUGCAGUCGAUACGGGCGGACUCGAGUUCGGCAGGGGAGACUGGAAUUCCUGGUGUAGCGGUGGAAUGCGCAGAUAUCAGGAGGAACACCGGUGGCGAAGGCGGGUCUCUGGGCAGUAACUGACGCUGAGGAGCGAAAGCGUGGGGAGCGAACAGG